UCGUACGUCGUGGAAGAUUCUCGAAGGUGCGAGAACGAUCGCCGAUGCUUAUCUUCUGCGAUUCGGGACUGCGGAGGGUGAAUAUAGACGAUAACGAGAAGAUGGCGGAUCUGCAGCUGCGGCGUACUUCACUCGUAGCCGGGCGUCAAGCCGAAGAGAACGCGAUUGCGACGCAAUAAAGUGAAUAGGAGACACGUUCAGCGAUUAAUUGUGGUACCAGUCUUGAGAUUCCGAGCUUCUCAACGCCACCGAAUCGAGGCUGUGGAUGAUGAGCUGCGACGUGUCGAUUUCAACGAGGGAAUCUUCACCGAUGAGGCGAUCGGUAUCUUAACGAUGACUGUACCCAAGAUGUAUCCUUAAAACAACGAAACGAAAAGAAAAUGCGCGGCUAUCGGGAUUCUUUGUCGUGGAUCGGUGCUCCAGGAUCCAUUUGCAAUUACAAAAACGGUACGUGGCAUCAACUCCCCACCCGUCUGACCUCUCGAAG